CUAAUGGAAGGACAGUAGCUAUGCUGUCACUUUUCCACCGUCCAAGCGACCGCUACAGCCAAAUAACACGUCCAUUAUAUGGUUACCGCAACACUGGACACCAUCCCUGUUCCACUUUCUACAACAUGCUAGUCAAGGUGAAAUGUUGGGAGUCUGAGCAAUGUAAGCAGUGUUGGCCACUAUGCUACUGUAUCAGCCCGUCAGGAAGUGGGGCACGGCAGCAGUAGUCAAAAAUAUGAACAAAGAGGUACCAGUCCAUACAUACAGCAAAACAUGCAUGUAUGUCUGUUCAACAAAGGACUGGAAGAUGAGGAAAAGUUGGCCAUUACCUAGCACUUGCCUAAAUAUUCAAGUUUAAAUGGAUACGGUAGUACACCCCAGACACCGUCCUGCUCCAUUUUUUUCAUCCUUUUUUGAUUUUUUUGAAACCAACAGUUAUCCAAUGAAAUCACUAAUCUAGUAAGAUGUGUAACAUUCAUCAGCUGUUAUUUGCCGUCAAUGGAAAAUAAAAAGAUGUAAACUGAGCCAUGCUACCUUAAAGUCCAAGCUACGGGAUCAAAAGUUACCAAAAAAAGCGG